CACACUCAUCAUUGUCGCGGUCUUCGGGCGCAUAGCCCGAUGCCAAGAGGGAAGCCGGUGCAAGUCCGGUGCUGCCCCCGCAACUGUAAGCGGCGAGUUCCGGCCCAACCAUGUCACUGAAGCAUCCGCUUCGGGAAGACGGGCCGGAGCGCUGACCCGCAAGCCAGGAGACCUGCCGCGACGAAAUCGAAGUC
rnacentral:ncRNA from 2 species